UGGGCUGGUCGUAAGACCCGGGUCCACCGAAUGGCGGGGAAGUUCCU
rnacentral:sRNA from 1 species